GUUUCUGUACGGAUUUUACAUGUACAAUGGAUUUGUCAGUCCAUCUGCCUAUAUGACAUUGAUGAUACCAAGGUGUGUCAUUAUAACCCAAUUCCCCUCAAAAGUGCUGCAAUGUUUUUAGUGGCAAUCUUUCUUGGACUUAAGAGCACAGUUCAUCUUCUGAUUUCAUGUCCUGAAGGAACUACUAUUUUUGCACUUUAAGGAAUAGUACAGUUUAGUUUUAUUUGGUGAUUCUUCAAAUGCGCACAGUGCAUUACACCACAUCAAGUACCUACAGUGACAACACCCUUUCGGAUGGCAACUUAUCAUUUCACCACAAACUGUGCAGUGAUUUUAUCACCCAGCCUCCCAGAAUUUGUUAAAGAAAAGAUUAUAUGAGUGAGUGUAAAUCAAUUCAAUUCCAAAGUGAGGCUUGGUGCAAUUUUUAAAGAAGAAAGAACCUGCCAGGGCUGCAUUGAACUCGUAAAUAUUGUUCUUCUCUACUUAAAUGAAUUGGUUAGAGUUAAUUUGGGAACCAUCAAAGAUAAACCUCUAAACUUUUUUCAUGCCGAGAGUACAAGAAUAAAUUUAAAUAAUAAUAUUGAAACGGUUGUUUUUGUGUACUCGUUCCUGCCGACUUCCUGGACAAAACAAAAGGUUCGACUGCACUUUUUUUUUCAGCGUGGUGAGAAGCUUUGGUGAGAUUGUCUUCGGCACAAUACAGAGUUAUGGACAUUUUCUGUGCAUGAGCUAAGAACAUUUUAAGUUUAGCAAAAGCACUCUCAAUAUGUUUUGGAAAUACAUUUUUAUGUACAUUUUUUGUCCAUAAAUUAUGAACAUCUGAGGCUUGUCC